UGGGGGACGUUCUGACCUGUACGUUGCGAAACAGGGAGGAGGGGGGGAGUGUGUGCGGCCAUGGCCAUGGCGUGCGAAGCCGAUGCUCUGACACAACGUAAGAGAAGUGGGAAAAAAGCAGCCCGAGGGACGAUCGGAGGGGAAGGCAUUAAGAGGCAGAGAGGGUCGCAGAGUAAGGAAGGGCGAGGUUAGGUAGAGAGCCUGCAAAGAUGUGUCAGAGGAGGUGGUAAGUAAGAAGGGGGAGCGAAGUAGAGGAAGAGAGGAGGAGAAAUCCGGCGAUGGCGGUAAAAGUGAAGGGA
rnacentral:lncRNA from 1 species